rnacentral:rRNA from 1 species
AUGGCUUCUCACGGCAAGGACACGCAACAAGUCGUCGCCGGCGCCGACGGCAGAGGCGGGGGCUACGUGCUGCUCCUGCCGUACCCAAGCCAAGGCCACGUCCACCCGAUGCUGCAGUUCGCCAAGCGCCUCGCGCACCACGGCAUGCGCCCCACGCUCGCCGUCUCCCGCUACAUCCUCGCCACAUGCAAGCCCGACGCCGCCGCGGUCGGCGCGGUCCGCCUGGCCGCCGUAUCCGACGGCUGCGACGCGGGCGGGUUCGGCGAGUGCAACGACGUCACGGCCUACCUGGGGCUCCUGGAGGCCGCGGGUUCGGAAACGCUGGGGGAGCUCCUAGACGCCGAGGCCGCGGAGGGGCGCCCCGUCCGGGCGGUGGUCUACGACGCGUUCCUGCCGUGGGCGCGCGGCGUGGCGCAGCGGCACGGCGCCGCCGCCGUGGCCUUCUUCACCCAGCCGUGCGCCGUCAACGUGGUGUACGGCCACGUGUGGUGCGAGCGGGUCGGCGUGCCCGUGGAGGCUGGAUCCACCGUCGUCGGCCUGCCUGGGCUGCCGGCGCUCGAGCCGGAGGGCUUGCCGUGGUUCCUCAAGGUCGGGCCCGGCCCCUACCCGGGCUACUUCGAGAUGGUGAUGAGCCAGUUCAAGGGGCUGGAGCUGGCCGACGACGUGCUCGUCAACUCUUUCUACGAGCUCGAGCCCGAGGAGGCGGCGUACAUGGCGUCGGCGUGGCGCGCCAAGACGAUCGGGCCGACGGUGCCGGCGUCCUACGUGCACGACGACCGCAUGCCCUCGGACACCAAGUACGGCUUCCACCUCUUCGAGCUCACGGCCGCGCCCUGCGUGUCCUGGCUGUCAACGCACCCGGCGCGCUCCGUGGUGUUCGCCUCCUUCGGCAGCCUGUCGAACCUGGACCCGGCGGAGAUGCGCGAGGUGGCGCACGGCCUCCUGGACGCCGGCCGCCCGUUCCUCUGGGCCGUGCGCGAGUCGGAGAGCCACAAGCUGCCCGCCGGCUACGGCGACGCCGUGGCGGCGCGCGGCGGGAUGGUGGUGUCGUGGUGCCCGCAGCUGGAGGUGCUGGCGCACCAGGCGGUGGGGUGCUUCCUGACGCACUGCGGGUGGAACUCGACGUCGGAGGCGCUGGUGGCCGGCGUGCCGAUGGUGGCGCUGCCGCAGUGGACGGACCAGCCGAUGAACGCCAAGUACGUGGAGGCCGUGUGGCGGGCGGGCGUGCGCGUGCGCCCCGCGGCCCAGGACGGGCUCGCGCGGAGGGGGGAGGUGGCGGGCGGGAUCGAGGCGGUGAUGGCCGGCGAGCGGAGCGGCGAGUACAGGAGGAACGCCGCCGCGUGGGCGGAGAAGGCACGGGCGGCCAGCCGGGAGGGCGGCAGCUCCGACCGGAACAUUGCCGCGUUCGUCGCCAAGUAUGGCUCCAGCUCCAAGUGA